rnacentral:rRNA from 1 species
GAUGAACGCUGGCGGCGUGCCUAAUACAUGCAAGUCGAGCGAACAGAUGAGGAGCUUGCUCCUCUGACGUUAGCGGCGGACGGGUGAGUAACACGUGGAUAACCUACCUAUAAGACUGGGAUAACUUCGGGAAACCGGAGCUAAUACCGGAUAAUAUAUUGAACCGCAUGGUUCAAUAGUGAAAGACGGUUUUGCUGUCACUUAUAGAUGGAUCCGCGCCGCAUUAGCUAGUUGGUAAGGUAACGGCUUACCAAGGCAACGAUGCGUAGCCGACCUGAGAGGGUGAUCGGCCACACUGGAACUGCGACACGGUCCAGACUCCUACGGGAGGCAGCAGUAGGGAAUCCUCCGCAAUGGGCGAAAGCCUGACGGAGCAACGCCGCGUGAGUGAUGAAGGUCUUCGGAUCGUAAAACUCUGUUAUUAGGGAAGAACAAAUGUGUAAGUAACUAUGCACGUCUUGACGGUACCUAAUCAGAAAGCCACGGCUAACUACGUG